UUAUGUUGUGAUAGAUGCAUGUUUACAAGGUUUGGAAGAUUGACGAGUAUGUUUCAUCGUGACAGGUAUUUUCUUGUAUUGAUUUUUAUGAAUCCUUAAACUUUGCCAAUUCUAUGCCUGAUUUGGAAGAUUGACGAGUAUGUUUCAUCGUGACAGGUAUUUUCUUGUAUUGAUUUUUAUGAAUCCUUAAACUUUGCCAAUUCUAUGCCUGACUUCAAUGUGCCAUGGCUUUGCAGGUUUUGUCAUGCCAUCCUCUUUGAUAAAUGAUGCUUAAUGGUUGGAUGUUACUACUGCCUUGUGAUGCAUUACAGGUUUUGUUUUUGAGACGAACUAGCUUAUGGUGACAUGACUAGUUAUGGACCAAGGUCUUUUCUUCAUGUGUCAUGAUGUUGUAACACGUCGGUACCUGUUUUAAACCUUGCGUAAUUAGUGCUUCUGCAGGUUGUGCUCUACUGAUAUAAUGAUGACAUUUGGUUACGCGACCGUUUGAGUUCGAUCUGGUAUGCGACUUAACGCAGGUUUUGCUGUGACCACUGAUGUGUUGCAGGAUGCUGAUUAACUCAUUCCUGUUGGUAAGCCUAUCAUUACCAUAGAGUUAAACCAUCUCUUUCAUUGUGUGGUAUGAUAACAUUACCGAUGUAUUCAGUCUGUGUUAGUAACCUACUGCAGGUCUGUGAACCUCGAAGUUUUUUCUCAGUUUUAUGUAUUCUAAAAUUUGGAUGCUGCAUUUUGCAGGUUGCAGUUUUUGACUGCUUGCGCAGAAAAUGUAUCUGUCCAAAAGUAGACUGUCACGCUGGAUUGUAAUCAUUGCAGGAUGCGUCACAUUUGGUAGGUUGCAGUUUCAUGUUAUUUUGGCUUGACUGAUUAUUGCAUGUUUUGGAUCGAUACACAUUGCUUGCCAAUUUCAGGUUGGUAAUUCGGAUGGAAGCAAGGCAGUGCAUACUGAUUGACUGAUCAAGGUGAACUGUUACCUUUGUGUUGCAG
rnacentral:lncRNA from 1 species